AGACGCUGAUUACUGUGAGCCAGAGCCAUAGUGUUGUUGUGCACUGAACAGAACGGAAUUGGCCAGGUGACCCUUUUUGGGUAUGAAAAAGGAUGGCGAGCCAAUGAACGGCUAGGAGCAGGACUCAUUCUGCAUUUUAGCUUCCACUGGACUGGUAGGAAGCUAUCAAAGACGACGCUCUGUCCCCAUUUCCCAAACACACUGAUUUCCACAAUCAUACACACCAUUCCCCCCGUUUAUGGACAAUAGCGCUUGGACAUCUCUCAUGGACUUCAGUGUGGAUCAGUGGUUUUGAUGUUAACAUGUGUUAUUUAUGGGGAACUGUU
ensembl:lncRNA